UAGGGAAUCUUCCGCAAUGGACGAAAGUCUGACGGAGCAACGCCGCGUGAGUGAAGAAGGAUUUCGGUUCGUAAAACUCUGUUGUUAGGGAAGAAAAAAUGUAUAGUAACUAUAUACAAAAGAGACGGUACCUAACCAGAAAGCCACGGCUAACUACGUGCCAGCAGCCGCGGUAAUACGUAGGUGGCAAGCGUUGUCCGGAAUUAUUUGGCGUAAAGCGCGCGCAGGUGGUUUAGAAAGUCUGAUGUGAAAGCCCACGGCUCAACCGUGGAGGGUCAUUGGAAACUAAUAAACUUGAGUGCAGGAGAGAAAAGUGGAAUUCCUAGUGUAGCGGUGAAAUGCGUAGAGAUUAGGAGGAAAACCGGUGGCGAAAGCGGCUUUUUGGCCUGCAACUGACACUGAGGCGCGAAAGCGUGGGGAGCAAACAGG
rnacentral:rRNA from 1 species